UUUCUACUCCCUCUGUCCGAAAAUACUUGUCACCACCAAAAUAAAUAAAUAAAUGUAUUUAGACAUAUUUUAGUUUUAUGUACAUUCUUUUUUAUUCAUUUUGAUGACAAGUAUUUUCGAACGAGGGAGUAUUUU
rfam:Triticum aestivum genome assembly, contig: Triticum_aestivum_CS42_TGACv1_scaffold_641024_T_5AS-0.126745_5BL-0.100291